rnacentral:misc_RNA from 1 species
GUGCUUCACUUCGCAUUUUGCGCACACGCGCAGCGCUACCACAAGCAACCAAAACAUGUAUGCGAACAUUGGAGAAGAGAACCAGUUCACCGGCCUCGUGGCGCGGUCGAAGUCGUCUUUGCAGCGCGCAGAGGACUCGGCCGCCGCGACAUCAGUGGCGCCGCCGCCGUCGAACACCGGCGAUCGAUGUCCUGCAUCUCAUGCGCACGAGCCCACCGUUGCCGAUGAGACAGUCGACACUACGUCGAUUCUGCUGAUGCAUCUCGAUCAGGUCCUCGCUGCUGCCACUGCAGCGAAGGCACACGCGCGCAUCAACAAGCAUCAAUGCGCGUUGGCUGUACGCCGCCUGCGAUUGAUUGCCGUCACGCUACGCAAGAUGCCGCGGCCGGCGCCGUCGCAGCCGCUGCUGACCGCGAUGCAGUCCCUGUGCCUGCUGCUGCGUCAGUGCGCACACGACGGUGGCGUGGUGGCAAGCACGGCGGAGUCCGCCACGGCACUGCAGAUCCUGUACGGUCCCGACGGCGAUCCACUGGGACCGGCACAGUGCUGGCCGGUGCUGCUGUAUCAUCACUUCACAAGCCAACUGUUCUUCCAAGGUGCUUACCGACGCCUCUGGGCGGCGUGGUCCAUGUACUCGCACGUGGAUCUGGAGCGUGAGGAUGGCGUUGCCGAGUCGCUGGACUGCGCUGAGGAUGGGCAGGUUAUGGUGGAGCUGCUCCUCCCCAUGAGUGUUUCUGGCAGAGAGGCGGAUCAAUCCGCCUUUGAAGAGGUCGGCAGCGUCAGCCAUCAUCUGCGCGACCUGCAAGCCUACCACCAGCGGCGUAAGAUGAGUCCGUGGCGAAUCCUCUAUCAAGACCUGAAGCCGACGGAUCAGCUCGUACUGGGGGCCAGCCGACCACGAAGCGCAUCGGCAUCGGCUCCUCCGGCGGCGACGGUGGCAGUGAAGCACCACGCUGAUGGUGAGAAGGACGUUCGCUUCCGUGUUUUACCGCACGUGUACCGGUACAGCGGCGUCCCUGUCGUCGUGAAGGCCCUCUGCGGCGCGGCGGGCACGAGCGACGCAGAAACGCAGGAGGUGGCCAUGCAGCACGCGACAGAAUUCGUACUGGACGUGGGGUGUCGCUCCACGUGGUGUCACCCACAUAUCGUCACAUGCCUCGGUGGAUACACGGAAAGGUUCGUCGACGACGCGGAGAGCUCGAACGCGUCAGCGGUGCGCGUCGAGGUAGACGAGAAGGCGGGAGAAGAGCGCCCGGCAAGCGCUGCCAUGGCGAGCUUCCCCUGGCAGUGUCCCGUGUCGGCCGUCACUGGGAAGCCGAUCAUGGCUCUGGGGUACGUCCUUGAGCUGCAGAGUGCGAGAUUGCUUUCCACCGCCGCCGACUCUGCGCAGGCCUCCUACGUCACGCUUCACGAUUUGCUGUUUGCUCCCCCUUCUUCUGCCGCUUUCUCCUCAGCAUCCCUCCCUGUUCUUGGGCGGCACCACUUCACGCUUCACGAGGCCCUCGACAUCUGCUCCCAGAUCGCCGAUGCGCUGCAGUACAUCAUGAGCGACAGCCAUGAGGUGUCGGAGGCGGUGCAGACGGCGUGGUUGACCGUCGACCCUGCGAACGUCUUUGUUGUGCGCAUGGUCGGACUGAACGGGGAUGAAGAGCCGGUGCACCAACAGGAAAGGCAGCAAAAGGGUGGUGUCAGCGGCGACCAGCAUGCGCGAGACACGUCGUCGCCCUUGUCGGUGAAUAGCGAAAGUGCCGCCUGGGCAGCCAGCGUCACCCCCUUCGCCGAGGGCGGCAGUCGUGAAGAAGCCCCUGUCGCGAGCCAACCUGACCUGCAAAUCGGUUCCGUCAAGGCGUCGGAGGAUGGCGGGGGCCGAGUCGACCGGAGCCUCCCCUACAAGGCGGAUACGGUGCAGACACGGAGUGAGCGGGAGACGGAGGUGUACGUCUGCGGAGGAAGAAAGGGCGACCGCGGCGGCGCCGAAGAUGCGCUGCGCCUUCGAUCAAAGCACUUCGUUGUGCGCUACAGCCCGCCGUGCAGGUGGACGCCACACCAGGUCGCCGGAAGUCGGUGGCGCCCGCAUGCGCGAGCCACGGCCCCCGCCAGCUACGUCGUUGUGCAGCUCUUUCUCGCUCUCCUCACGGGCCAGGUGCCCUACGCGUACAUCAAGACAGACCGAGAGGUGGAGGAGCGGGUGUUCGCGGGUGCUACGCAUCAGCUCGGCAACACCUCGGGCACCGCGUCGUGUCUCUCAGGAGCAGAGCCGCUAGCGCCGGUGAAGCCAAGCAGCAGCAGCCAAGGGUACCGUAUUCCACCCUCGCUGCCGCCGAUGGUGGCGAACUGGUGUCGGCGCGCGCUCUCCCUCGAUCACAGCCAGCCGCCCAUGGAACUGGAGGCGCUGCGCAACACUCUGACGACGAUUCAAGCCUCUCUGCCUGAUAACGUCCGUCACGCACACCUGCACGCGGGAGAAGACGCGGCUGAGGGGGACAGAGGAGCCGGUGGCGGUGGCGGUGGCGGUGGCCCCAAUCAGGAGAUGCAGUCCUGCAUGAGUGGUGAGACGCUCGAUGUUUAGGAGAGGAUUGACCAGGAGGAAGUCUGCUGAGCGAGCAUAUAAACUGUGAGCUCGCAAGAUCCCUCUCUGCUCACUCCAUCUUUCAUCGGUGUCCAAAGGUCCCCUGCCCUCCCUCCCUCCCCACCUUACGCCUCACCGCCUUCUCUGUGCUCCGCGGCUGUGAUGGCGGUUAGGGCUGCUGCAGCUGCUACGCUGUGCUUCUGUGUCUUCCUCUCCCUCUUGUUCGCCGCGUUGCUUGUGCUUUAUCUAUUUUUUUUUAGUAUUAUUAGUGUCGCUUCUCGUCUCUUCCACCACCGCCACCCACCCGUCCACCCUCCCACUCGCCUUAAACAGCUAUCAUCAUGACGACCAAUCCGUCGCCCUCAAAACGAAAUAGCCAUCGACUUUUGCCGCUCUCGUUGCCCUCCCCCUUACCCUCCCUACUGUUCUUUUUUCAUCGACGUGAAGUUGGAUAUGCACGCUGCUGCUGCUGCUGCUACCCUCACCACACCACCGCACGCCCUCCUCGUUUUUGCUUGUCCCUCGCCCACUCGCUCUGUGUCUGUGUCUGUGUCUGUGUGUGCGUGUGUGUGUGUGUGUCUUCUUACUCUUCGCCCUCUGCAUCGGUGCUCUC